GACCCGGCUUGACCCUGUGGCGGGUCAACUUGGGGAUGACCGGACUAAGAGGUGGUGGAGACGUCUGUUUGCCUAGAUAACCCAUCUGCAUUCCCGUUCAGCUUACCGGGUCUGUAGCUGAUGGUAAAAUUGUAGGGCUGCAAUGCCAAGCUCCAUCUCAGUAGUCUCCUAUUGUCUCCUGAGACCCGGUCCCCAAAAAGGCCAGUACCUGGGUCUUAGUGGUAGGUGUGGGCCAGUUAGCCACUGCCUCUAACUUGGCUGGCUCUGGUCUCUGGCUCCCACAUCCCACUCUGUGACCCGGGUACUGUACUUCCGCCAUACCUAGAUGGCACUUCUCUGGCUUCAAUGUCAGGCCAG